rnacentral:rRNA from 1 species
UACGUAGGGUCCGAGCGUUGUCCGGAGUUACUGGGCGUAAAGCGCGCGCAGGCGGCGGUAUAAGCAUGGCGUGAAAGCCCCGGGCUCAACCCGGGAGGGUCGUGGCGAACGGGCAGCUUGAGGCCGGGUAGGGGAGACUGGAAUUCCUGGUGUAGCGGUGAAAUGCGCAGAUAUCAGGAGGAACACCGGUGGCGAAGGCGGGUCUCUGGGCCGAUACUGACGCUGAUGCACGAAAGCUAGGGGAGCAAACAGG